rnacentral:SRP_RNA from 1 species
GCUGGAUGCAGUGGCGCACGCCUGUAGUCCCAGCUACUCGGGAGGCUGAGAUGGGAGGAUUGCUUGAGCCCAGGAGUUCUGGGCUGUAGUGCGCUAUGCUGAUCGGGUGUCGAACUAAGUUCGGCAUCAAUAUGGUGACCUCCCGGGAGCGGGGGACCACCAGGUUGCCCAAGGAGGGAUGAACCAGCCCAGGUCGGAAACGGAGCAGGUCAAAACUCCCGUGCUGAUCAAGAGAUGUGUCAGUUAUAUAUUAGGCCUCAGACACAAAACUAGUGUGAGUUAAAUACAACUCA